ensembl:lncRNA
GCGAGUCCACCGUAGUUACACACACACACGCACUACCUAGCGUUAGCAACAAGACCCACAGCAGCAUCACAGAGUCUGUAAGGUUAACUCGGAGUAUUCACAGGUGCUGGUGUAGGAGUGCGCCGGCGGGGAAACGGAUCCGCAAUGCUGAACCCGACCAAUGGUGACCCACACUGAAAAAAAGGGACUGGCCAUCUCUUGGAUUUAUGUAAGCAUCUUGCAUGUAUUUAACACAAUUACCUCAUGUUUUAAAGAUAAAUGUAACUAUAUAGUGUAAAAACUACAUGAUAUGCAGAAAGGGUGUAUUAAAUUGUUCAUAUCAUGUUCAGGUGAAGUAAGUCAAUAAGAUAGCAACGUUAAAUCUCGUGAAACCACGCGUGAUUUCAUCUCGCGGGCUUUGGAUUGUGGUUCAAAAAAGGCAUCCAUCUCAGUCAAGUCGAGCAGCCAACUCUACGUUUUUGGAGUCAGCUGAUGGAUUGUGGGUUCAAGGUGUUAUGAUAAAAUGCAGCAUUCCAGUGCAUCCCAACCAUGCCUUUACAGUCAAGGUUUCUGACGGAGCUGAGUUUCUCUCUGACAGUCUGCUGAAAGUGUUUGCAAAGUGAUCGGGGGAACAGUGCACAAAGCUAAAGGAUGUAGCUGCCAUGAUGACAGAUGACAUUAAUGCUCAAAGGGGGUCUCAUCAAAGUGCUCCGCAUCUGUGUGAAAGACAAUUGCAACAUCUUGGUGCAGGAGUUCAU